AUUGAACGCUGGCGGCAGGCCUAACACAUGCAAGUCGAACGAGUGGCGGACGGGUGAGUAAUGUAUGGGAAUCUGCCUGAUGGAGGGGGAUAACUACUGGAAACGGUAGCUAAUACCGCAUACCAUCGGAUGUGCCCAGAUGGGAUUAGCUAGUAGGUGGGGUAAUGGCUUACCUAGGCGACGAUCCCUAGCUGGUCUGAGAGGAUGAACAGCCACAAUGGGACUGGGAUACGGGCCAGAAUCCUACGGACGGCAGCAGUGGGGAAUAUUGCACAAUGGGGGCAAUCCUGAUGCAGCCAUGCCGCGUGUAUGAAGAAGGCCUUCAGGUUUUAAAGUACUUUCAGCGAGGAGGCGUUACCGGCAGAAGAAGCACCGGCUAACUCCGUGCCAGCAGCCGCGGUAAUUC
rnacentral:rRNA from 1 species